rnacentral:rRNA from 1 species
GCAGCGACGCCGCGUGGGGGAUGACGGCCUUCGGGUUGUAAACCUCUUUCGGCCUUGACGAAGCCUUUCGGGGUGACGGUAGGGGUAGAAGAAGCACCGGCCAACUACGUGCCAGCAGCCGCGGUAAUACGUAGGGUGCGAGCGUUGUCCGGAAUUAUUGGGCGUAAAGAGCUCGUAGGCGGUCUGUCGCGUCGGUCGUGAAAACUUGGGGCUUAACCCUGAGCUUGCGGUCGAUACGGGCAUGACUUGAGUUCGGCAGGGGAGACUGGAAUUCCUGGUGUAGCGGUGAAAUGCGCAGAUAUCAGGAGGAACACCGGUGGCGAAGGCGGGUCUCUGGGCCGAUACUGACGCUGAGGAGCGAAAGCGUGGGGAGCGAACAGGAUUAGAUACCCUGGUAGUCCACGCCGUAAACGGUGGGCGCUAGGUGUGGGGGCCAUUCCACGGUCUCUGUGCCGCAGCUAACGCAUUAAGCGCCCCGCCUGGGGAGUACGGCCGCAAGGCUAAAACUCAAAGGAAAUUGACGG